rnacentral:rRNA from 1 species
AGCGUGGGCGGACAUUUAAGUCAGGGGUGAAAUCCCGGGGCUCAACUUCGGAAUUGCCUUUGAUACUGGGUGUCUUGAGUAUGAGAGAGGUGUGUGGAACUCCGAGUGUAGAGGUGAAAUUCGUAGAUAUUCGGAGGAACACCAGUGGCGAAGGCGGCUUACUGGUCCAUUACUGACGCUGAGGUGCGAAAGCGUGGGGAGCAAACA